rnacentral:lncRNA from 1 species
AAUUUCAUCUGUGAUCUUAAUCCUCUCUUUGCCAUCCCCAGUACAUAGUUGCAUAUCCUAGUUGUAGUCAUUCUAGUUCUACUAUGUCGGAUGCCACCACAGCAUGGCCUGAUGAGUGGUGUGUAGGUCCAUGCCCAGGAUCCGAACUGGUAAACCCUGGGCCACUGAAGUAGAUUGCGUGAACUUAACCACUCGGCCAGGGGGCCAGCCCCAGACACCUAUGGAGUGUUCUUGUUUUCAAGACUCUGAAAGCUGACCCUAGAAGAAUCGAAUAGUUAGGAUCCUCUCCAAAGAAGUUAUUGCAGACACUCCUAGAUGCAGGUAAACUCUUGGCUGCUUAAUGGGACUACUGAUAUGGGAGAAAGAAACUGUCAUUCAUCAGUACAAUGAUUCCUACCUUGUGGAUAUGAUUCCUCCUUUCCAUCAAGACUGUCCUGGUGGUGGUGGAACCAAAUUCUUCCUUUUUCGGCUUUCUCUGCUGAUGUAAAAGAAAGCAUCUGUCCUUCAAUGGAAUUACCUGGAAAUGAAAUCAAGGGGCAGAGUCCAGUACCUCUAAAUCUACAUCAGAACUUUCCACAAGAGUACCUGAUGAGGAUGUUUCUAGAGAUGGUGGGACCAGGAAAGAAAAUUGUUCUGCUGGCCUCAACUGUAAAUGUGUCCUGCCUUGGAGAUGUACCCCUCUCGUGUGUUGGCAAGUUCUGUACACGGGCUUGGAAGAGGAAAACCAUAGAAUUCCAUUUGGAAAACUGUGUAUUCGAGAAGGAAUAAAUGGAAUUCAUGAUAUAUACCUUUUCAUCUUUAAUGGCUGCGAUGGACCUAUAAGAAACUACUUCUGUGGGAUUUUUAAAGGCUCUGUGUAUAAAUGCUGGUGAUAAAUAAAUUCUUAUUAAUUCUUAGCCAACAUUUUGGCCCUGGGUUUAAGACUGCUGAAAACAUGUUUGAACCCAAGCAGAGAAUUAAAUGAUUUUAAUGCCAUUUUGUUGCAUGGCAGCCACAAAUAUCAAAUAUCUUCCAUAUCAUCAAAAUAUGAGAUUAUGUGCCUUUAUGCCCUGUAUAAGGUGCUAGGCUAAGAAGGGAAAAUGUGGGAAGUAUAUGUGUUAAAUCUACGAGUUUAAUUGUUCAGCAAAUUGGAAGCGAAUGAAUAGCAUAUGCUUUCCAUCUAAAUGUCAAUGAUGCCAAGAAGGCUUCCUUUGGUUCCCAUGGGUAACUUUCACAUUCAUGUAGAUAGAAGUAAAAAUAUAACAACCCACCUCCUAACUUCAAAAGCAUUAAGUAGCAAAUCUCUAAACUUGUAAAGGAGAAAAUGCUACCAAAUGGAAGAGAAUUUGGUAAUCAUUAAAAUAAGAUCUGUCUCCUCAGAGUAGGAAGUCAAAAUUUUUCUCACAUGAAAACUGAGAUACAAAAAGCAUCAUUGUAAUGCCAAUUGUCUCCAUUUUUUAGCCAAAUAUUCUAAUACUUUUAGUGGCAUACUCAGUAAUAUUUGCCCAUAUUUGUAAUUGAGAUCACUCACCCAGAAAAGCAGCAUUACUAAGCUAGCUAGUGAUUUAGCCACAUUACUAAAUUUGCCUUUCAAGCCUCAAAGAGGUGUAUUUUCACAAAUUUUUGAACAAGAAAGUUGUGUGCUAGAGCACACUAUCUUAAAUCAACAGGUGUAGUAUUGGCCACAAGGAGCUAAUUUAUUCUUAGCCAUCAUCAUUUGUAUAAUCCUCCAUAUUGACCUUGCUCCUAUUUAGUUUUAAGGAGUUUUGGGAGCAUUACUAAUCCCAACAUAACAAUAAUAGCAAUAACAGCAAAUUCUAGUAAGGAGAGGCAUAGGUUAUGAUGCAGAGCUGAGAUAAACAAUGGAAAAGGAUGAGACAAUGAUAAGAAUCGUGAUUC